CCCUUAGAUGUCCGGGGCCGCACGCGCGCUACACUGAAGGAAUUAGCGUGGCUUUCUCCCUGACCCGAAAGGGUUGGGAAACCCGUUGAAUCUCCUUCGUGAUAGGGAUUGGGGCUUGAAAUUGUUCCCCAUGAACGAGGAAUUCCCAGUAAGCGCGAGUCAUAAGCUCGCGUUGAUUACGUCCCUGCCCUUUGUACACACCGCCCGUCGCUACUACCGAUUGAACGGUUUAGUGAGGGCCUCGGAUUGGUCUCGGCCCGCUCUUUACCGGGCGGCGCCGUUGGUCGAGAAGACGCUCGAACUUGAUCGUUUAGAGGAAGUAAAAGUCGUAACA
rnacentral:rRNA from 1 species